rnacentral:rRNA from 1 species
AGCGAACGCUGGCGGCAGGCCUAACACAUGCAAGUCGAACGAAGCCUUCGGGCUUAGUGGCGGACGGGUGAGUAACACGUGGGAACGUACCUUUUGGUUCGGAACAACUCAGGGAAACUUGAGCUAAUACCGGAUGAGCCCUUAGGGGGAAAGAUUUAUCGCCGAAAGAGCGGCCCGCGUUAGAUUAGCUAGUUGGUGAGGUAAGGCUCACCAAGGCUACGAUCUAUAGCUGGUCUGAGAGGAUGAUCAGCCACACUGGGACUGAGACACGGCCCAGACUCCUACGGGAGGCAGCAGUGGGGAAUCUUGCGCAAUGGGCGAAAGCCUGACGCAGCCAUACCGCGUGAAUGAUGAAGGUCUUAGGAUUGUAAAAUUCUUUUACCAGGGACGAUAAUGACGGUACCUGGAGAAAAAGCCCCGGCUAACUUCGUGCCAGCCGCCGCAGUAAGAC